CAUUCCUAAGCAGAGACACAACCACAUUUUCAUCCUCAGCACAAACGAGGAUCUGCUCCAUUUAGAGGAACAUCUCUUCUUCCAGCCUCGGAAACGCACGGAACCACGUAGCUGAGGGCUCUGAUUCUCUGCCGGGCUCUUGUCACCAGAGGACCAGCCGCCUGGCGGCGUUGCCGUGGAGACGGAGCUCGCUGUGUGGAUGUGGCAACUCGCCCGGGCACAGCCUUUGCGGACUAUCUGCGGCAGGGGCUCACAGGACCGACGCCAAUAUGAUGCUUUCAAGGGCCAAACCCGCCGUGGGCGGCGAGUCACCGCACACCGACAAAAGAAAGAAGAAAGGUAGGAAAAUUCCAAAACUAGAGGAUCUGCUUUCGCAAAGAGAUUUCACCGGCGCCAUUACCCUAUUGGAGUUCAAGUGCCAUGUUGGGGAGCAAGAAGAGGAUACUAAUUUGUGGAUUGGAUACUGUGCUUUUCACCUGGGUGACUACAAGAGCGCUUUGGAGGUUAGUGAAAAAGGAAUCACAUGGUGUUUAAAAUGACGCUAUAUGGCACGCACUCAUGGUAACAGCAGAAGGAAAUAAUGCAGAUGAAAACAAAGUACAAAGAAAGAAAUUGCUCUGUCUUCCCCAAUCCUACGUCUUUUAAUGAAGGCCCCACUGACCCUUCUUAAUGUGCUGAUUCAGAGAGCGGUGGGGAAUGGUGACAGCACACCUGUAAUAUUGUGGGGAUCUCUCUGUA